rnacentral:rRNA from 1 species
CGAACGUUAGCGGCGCGCCUAACACAUGCAAGUCGCACGAGAAAGGGAGCAAUCCCCGGUACAGUGGCGCACGGGUGAGUAACACGUAGAUGACCUUCCCUGGAGUGGUGGAUAACCUGCCGAAAGGCGGGCUAAUACAGCAUGGGACCACAUGGUUUUGACCGAGUGGUGAAAGCGGGCCUCUGUUCACAAGCUCGCGCUCUGGGAUGGGUCUGCGUCCCAUCAGCUAGUUGGUGAGGUAAUGGCUCACCAAGGCAUCGACGGGUAGCUGGUCUGAGAGGAUGACCAGCCACACUGGAACUGAGACACGGUCCAGACUCCUACGGGAGGCAGCAGUGGGGAAUCUUGCGCAAUGGGCGAAAGCCUGACGCAGCGACGCCGCGUGGGUGAUGAAGGCCUUCGGGUUGUAAAGCCCUGUGGGGAGGAACGAACCGUACGGGGGCGAACACCCUCCGUACCUGACGGUACCUCCUUAGCAAGCAUCGGCUAACUCUGUG